AUCCAGCUGAUGAAACCUAAAUAGGACGAAACUCAAGUACUGGAU
rfam:Schistosoma haematobium scaffold6634_1, whole genome shotgun sequence.